ACGGAAUAGAUACCCUGGUAGUCCACGCCCUAAACGAUGUCUACUAGUUGUCGGGUCUUAAUUGACUUGGUAAACGCAGCUAAACGCGUGAAGUAGACCGCCUGGGGAGUACGGUCGCAAGAUUAAAACUCAAAGGAAUUGACGGGGACCCGCACAAGCGGUGGAUGAUGUGGAUUAAUUCGAUGCAACGCGAAAAACCUUACCUGCCCUUGACAUGGAUGGAAUCCCUGAGAGAUUGGGGAGUGCCCGAAAGGGAACCAUUACACAGGUGCUGCAUGGCUGUCGUCAGCUCGUGUCGUGAGAUGUUGGGUUAAGUCCCGCAACGAGCGCAACCCUUGUCAUUAGUUGCUACGAAAGGGCACUCUAAUGAGACUGCCGGUGACAAACCGGAGGAAGGUGGGGAUGACGUCAAGUCCUCAUGGCCCUUAUGGGUAGGGCUUCACACGUCAUACAAUGGUACAUACAGAGGGCCGCCAACCCGCGAGGGGGAGCUAAUCCCAGAAAGUGUAUCGUAGUCCGGAUUGUAGUCUGCAACUCGACUGC
rnacentral:rRNA from 1 species